rnacentral:rRNA from 1 species
AUUGAACGCUAGCGGGAUGCUUUACACAUGCAAGUCGAACGGCAGCGCGGACUUCGGUCUGGCGGCGAGUGGCGAACGGGUGAGUAAUGUAUCGGAACGUGCCCAGUAGCGGGGGAUAACUACGCGAAAGCGUAGCUAAUACCGCAUACGCCCUACGGGGGAAAGCAGGGGAUCGUAAGACCUUGCACUAUUGGAGCGGCCGAUAUCGGAUUAGCUAGUUGGUGAGGUAACGGCUCACCAAGGCGACGAUCCGUAGCUGGUUUGAGAGGACGACCAGCCACACUGGGACUGAGACACGGCCCAGACUCCUACGGGAGGCAGCAGUGGGGAAUUUUGGACAAUGGGGGCAACCCUGAUCCAGCCAUCCCGCGUGUGCGAUGAAGGCCUUCGGGUUGUAAAGCACUUUUGGCAGGAAAGAAACGACGCGGGCGAAUACCCCGUGGAACUGACGGUACCUGCAGAAUAAGCACCGGCUAACUACGUG